rnacentral:miRNA from 1 species
UACCACCUGGCUACCUGUAUAACAUAAAGUAUUUACAAAUUUCAAAAUUCACUUUUAAAAUUUGUAAAUACUUUAUGUUUUACAGGUAGCCAGGUGGUA